rnacentral:lncRNA from 1 species
GUUCGAGCCGCCCUGCAGCGGUGUGGAGACUCCGACCAGUUGGGGCAGGCGGCUCAGGUCGCGGCCAGCCAGGGGUUGGGAAACUAGUUUCCAUGGCCAAACCUAGCCCACCGUCUGUUUUGGUGUCCAUGGAUUGGCGGGGACAGCUCUGCUUAAGGAUGUAGUAGCUCUGCAGGUUGGCUAGUUUCCUGUUCUUCCCAACCUGCGCUAUGGACUUCAUCAGAUUUCAGCAUCAGAGAGAAUAUGGAAGGACAUCGACCCUAACUUCAUCCAGUGAGGAUUUCCACACACCAUACACUCUCUGAGAGUUCUCUUGGCUUUGUGUGCACACCUCCAGUGACAGGGAGCUCGCUAUGUCAUGAGGCAGCCUGCUCCCUUGUGGCUAUCACUGAACCAACUAUUAAGCCUUCUUAUACAAACAGUCCCUGACUUACUGUUAGACUUACAACUUUUUGAUUUUACAGUGGUGCAAAAGCAAUAUGCAUUCCAUAGAAACUGUAUUUCAAAUUUUGAAUUUUGAUCUUUUCCAGGCUAGCAACAUAUGAAGACCAACCUUCUAUUUUUAAAAUAGGCUUUGUGUUAGAUGCUUUUGCCCAACUAUAGGUUAAUGUAAAUGUUCUGAGAAUAUUUGAGGAAGGCUAGGCUAAACUGUGAUCUUUGGGAGCUUAGAUAUGUUAAGUGCAUUUUCAACUUACAAUAUUUUCAACUUACGAUGAGUUUAUUGGGAUGAAGCCCGUUGUAAGUAAAGGAGCAUCUGCAUUAAGCUAAAAUCCAUGUCUAUAACUUCCUCAGUAAUAUCAAGUUUGUUCCUUGGAGCCAGAGAAUAAACUGAAUCCUUUUCCA